rnacentral:rRNA from 1 species
GAUGAACGCUGGCGGCGUGCCUAAUACAUGCAAGUCGAGCGAACAGACGAGGAGCUUGCUCCUCUGACGUUAGCGGCGGACGGGUGAGUAACACGUGGAUAACCUACCUAUAAGACUAGGAUAACUUCGGGAAACCGGAGCUAAUACCGGAUAAUAUAUUGAACCGCAUGGUUCAAUAGUGAAAGACGGUUUUGCUGUCACUUAUAGAUGGAUCCGCGCCGCAUUAGCUAGUUGGUAAGGUAACGGCUUACCAAGGCGACGAUGCGUAGCCGACCUGAGAGGGUGAUCGGCCACACUGGAACUGAGACACGGUCCAGACUCCUACGGGAGGCAGCAGUAGGGAAUCUUCCGCAAUGGGCGAAAGCCUGACGGAGCAACGCCGCGUGAGUGAUGAAGUUCUUCGGAUCGUAAAACUCUGUUAUUAGGGAAGAACAAAUGUGUAAGUAACUAUGCACGUCUUGACGGUACCUAAUCAGAAAGCCACGGCUAACUACGUG